AGUGAACGCUGGCGGUAGGCCUAACACAUGCAAGUCGAACGGCAGCACAGUAAGAGCUUGCUCUUACGGGUGGCGAGUGGCGGACGGGUGCGGAAUACAUCGGAAUCUACUUUUUCGUGGGGGAUAACGUAGGGAAACUUACGCUAAUACCGCAUACGACCUACGGGUGAAAGCAGGGGAUCUUCGGACCUUGCGCGAUUGAAUGAGCCGAUGUCGGAUUAGCUAGUUGGCGGGGUAAAGGCCCACCAAGGCGACGAUCCGUAGCUGGUCUGAGAGGCUGAUCAGCCGCCUUGGAACUGAGACACGGUCCAGACUCCUACGAGAGGCAGCAGUGGGGAAUAUUGGACAACGGGCGCAAGCCUUAUCCAGCCAUCCCGCGUGGGUGACGAAGGCCUUCGGGUUGUAAAGCCCGUUUGUUGGGAAAGAAAAGCAGCAGGUUAAUACCCCGCUGUUCUGACGGUACCCAAUGAAUAAGCACCGGCUAACUUCGUG
rnacentral:rRNA from 1 species